CCUUGUGAGGAAGUUUUCCACAUCUGUUCGGCGACCAAGAUGAGCUAGAACAAAACAUGCAUCACCAUCUGAAG
rnacentral:snoRNA from 1 species